rnacentral:rRNA from 1 species
AUUGAACGCUGGCGGCAGGCCUCACCCAUGCACGUCGAACGAGUGGCGGACGGGUGAGUAAUGUCUGGGAAACUGCCUGAUGGAGGGGGAUAACUACUGGAAACGGUAGCUCAUCCCGCAUCCCAUCAGAUUUUCCCAGAUGGGUUUCGCUUGUUGGUGGGGUAACGGCUCACAAAGGCGACGAUCCCUAGCUGGUCUGAGAGGAUGAACAGCCACACUGGAACUGAGACACGGUCCAGCCUCCUACGGGAGGAAGCAGUGGGGAAUAUGGCACAAUGGGCGCAAGCCUGAUGCAGCCAUGCCGCUUGUAUGAUGAAGUCCUUCGGGUUGUAAAGUACUUUCAGCGUGGAGGCGUUACCCGCAGAAGAAGCGCCGGCUAACUCCGUGCCAGCAGCCGCGGUAAUAC